AUGCAGGUUGACUCUCUGAACCGCGUCACCGUGUUUCCUGUUCCAUCCCCCGACUCUGCAGCUCUGGGUGAGACCUUUUCCAGAGAGCAGCCAAGUCUCCUGAGAGCUCUGCCCGAUCCGGCCCGGGAUGAUAUUGCGGCUCAGCAUCGUGUCCUUUCUGUGCCUUCUCAGAGUAAUGUUUUGGUACAACUCUGUAUUGCUGUGUACACUGACUCUCCCGGGACAAACGUGAUAGUAGAUCCAAACCACCCCCCAACUUCUCAGCCUUCCCUCGUGAUUUUGAAAUCUGAAGACUCCAGUGGCUCUACCGCUUGCAUAGCAAAGGAUUUCUACCCUCCCGAACUGAAGAUCUCCAUGAAUGCCGGCAGCCCAGUUCUGUAUGAAACCACUGAGCCUGUCCUCUCAUCGGGAAAAUACCACGCCGUGAAGGUUAUCAACGUUACAGCGAAAAAAGACGUGCAUUGCUCGGUUCAACACCACAACCAAAAGUUUAAUACAAUCCUAGAGUCAAAGAGGCCACCAGCUUUAACAACUCCUGGACCGACCACAGGCUCCGUUGAGGUCUGCGGAUCUUCAGUUCCCGGCCUCCAAGAUGAAGACACGGAGAAAACGAACACGCUGUCUGUCACUGUGCUGAGUGUGAGGGUGUUGCUAACGAAAAGCAUCGCCUUGAAUAUAUGA